rnacentral:lncRNA from 1 species
UGACGAUGUGAUAUGUACGGUACGGAAUGUAAGACCAGUGGGACCCAUUCUACGUUCGCUGGCACCAUGUAAGGGAAAGACCAGGACCCAUUCUACGUUCUGGCACAGUUGGACCAUGUUAUGUUAUGCUAUGUAAGAGAAAGACCAGGACCCAUUCUACGUUCUGGCACAGUUGGACCAUGUAGAGGGCUGAUGGUGACAAGUUCAUCCUUGAUGUGAUUAGCU